AGCCACCAUUGGGAAUUUUGCCAAUGGGCCAACCUGAAGCAACCAUCCCGCGGUAUGAAGAAGCCUUUCGGUUGUAAAGUACUUUCAGCAGUGAGGAAGGUGGGUAUGUUAAUAGCAUAUUCAUUUGACGUUAGCUGCAGAAGAAGCACCGGCUAAUUCCGUGCCAGCAGCCGCGGUAAUACGGAGGGUGCGAGCGUUAUUCGGAAUUACUGGGCGUAAAGCGCAUGCAGGUGGUUUGUUAAGUCAGAUGUGAAAGCCCGGGGCUCAACCUCGGAAUUGCAUUUGAAACUGGCAAACUAGAGUACUGUAGAGGGGGGUAGAAUUUCAGGUGUAGCGGUGAAAUGCGUAGAGAUCUGAAGGAAUACCGGUGGCGAAGGCGGCCCCCUGGACAGAUACUGACACUCAGAUGCGAAAGCGUGGGGAGCAAACAGGAUUAGAUACCCUGGUAGUCCACGCCGUAAACGAUGUCUACUUGGAGGUUGUGGCCUUGAGCCGUGGCUUUCGGAGCUAACGCGUUAAGUAGACCGCCUGGGGAGUACGGUCGCAAGAUUAAAACUCAAAUGAAUUGACGGGGGCCCGCACAAGCGGUGGAGCAUGUGGUUUAAUUCGAUGCAACGCGAAGAACCUUACCUACUCUUGACAUCUACAGAAGCCAGCGGAGACGCAGGCGUGCCUUCGGGAACUGUAAGACAGGUGCUGCAUGGCUGUCGUCAGCUCGUGUUGUGAAAUGUUGGGUUAAGUCCCGCAACGAGCGCAACCCUUAUCCUUGUUUGCCAGCACUUCGGGUGGGGACUCCAGGGAGACUGCCGGUGAUAAACCGGAGGAAGGUGGGGACGACGUCAAGUCAUCAUGGCCCUUACGAGUAGGGCUACACACGUGCUACAAUGGCGCAUACAGAGGGCGGCCAACUUGCGAAAGUGAGCGAAUCCCAAAAAGUGCGUCGUAGUCCGGAUUGGAGUCUGCAACUCGACUCCAUGAAGUCGGAAUCGCUAGUAAUCGUGGAUCAGAAUGCCACGGUGAAUACGUUCCCGGGCCUUGUACACACCGCCCGUCACACCAUGGGAGUGGGCUGCAAAAGAAGUGGGUAGUUUAACCUUCGGGAGGACGCUCACCACUUUGUGGUUCAUGACUGGGGUGAAGUCGUAACAAGGUAGCCG
rnacentral:rRNA from 1 species